rnacentral:pre_miRNA from 1 species
UGAGCAGAGGUUACCUUUGGGAAUUCACUUUAUUAUGUUGAAUCACACAAAGGCAACUUCUGUUUG